rnacentral:lncRNA from 1 species
CGGAGAAGAAGCACCAUGGGAACGUGAAAACUACCUAAACCCGAAACUUUGUAUGUUUUCAACGCCUAGCCUAGCAAUCUCAAGGAUGAGAUUCUUGUAAGGGGGUAGGCCUGUCACACCCUAAGAUUUGCCUAAUAUUACUAAGUUAACUUAGCUAAAAAAUUAGGGCCAACAAUUUUUUGUGUGUUUGCUUGUGAUGCUUGGUUUGAUUGUGUGUUUGAUUGUGUUUUAAAUCACGACAAAAUACUCCUUCUCUCAAGACUCCUCUCCUUGAUCUAAAUCUUUGCCCAAAGACCAUCUCAUGUGUAUAGGACCUAGUACUAUUUUAAAAAAAGUAUUAUUUUGACCAAAAAGCAUUUAUUUAAUUUAAGCUCUCAAAACCCCUUGAAUUGAGGUUUGUACCACGAGUCCUCAAAUUAGGGAGGAUGUUUUGCCCCAGAUAUUUUAUUUGGAUGCUAUUAUAAAAAAAAC